AGAGUUUGAUCCUGGCUCAGGAUGAACGCUGGCGGCGUGCCUAAUACAUGCAAGUCGAACGCUUUGUGGUCCAACUGAUUUGAAGAGCUUGCUCAGAUAUGACGAUGGACAUUGCAAAGAGUGGCGAACGGGUGAGUAACACGUGGGAAACCUACCUCUUAGCAGGGGAUAACACUUGGAAACAAGUGCUAAUACCGUAUAACACUAAUAACCGCAUGGUUAUUAGUUAAAAGAUGGUCUUGCUAUCACUAAGAGAUGGUCCCGCGGUGUAUUAGCUAGUUGGUAAGGUAAUGGCUUACCAAGGCAAUGAUACAUAGCCGAGUUGGGAGACUGAUCGGCCACAAUGGGACUGAGACACGGCCCAUACUCCUACGGGAGGCAGCAGUAGGGAAUCUUCCACAAUGGACGAAAGUCUGAUGGAGCAACGCCGCGUGUGUGAUGAAGGGUUUCGGCUCGUAAAACACUGUUGUAAGAGAAGAAUGACAUUGAGAGUAACUGUUCAGUGUGUGACGGUAUCUUACCAGAAAGGAACGGCUAAAUACGUGCCAGCAGCCGCGGUAAUACGUAUGUUCCAAGCGUUAUCCGGAUUUAUUGGGCGUAAAGCGAGCGCAGACGGUUAUUUAAGUCCGAAGUGAAAGCCCACAGCUUAACUGUGGAAGUGCUUUGGAAACUGGAUAACUUGAGUGCAGUAGAGGAGAGUGGAAACUCCAUGUGUAGCGGUGAAAUGCGUAGAUAUAUGGAAGAAUUAUCAGUGGGCGAAAGGCGGCUCUCUGGGACUGUAACUGACGUUGAGGCUCGAAAGUGUGG
rnacentral:rRNA from 1 species